GUCCAAGUUGGCAAAAUAGUUAGUUAUAGUGGCCCAAGAAAAGUGUCCGAUAGACCUAUUCAGAUCGCAGCCGAAAAGACAGCUAACGAUUAGCGGGCCGCAGAUGGGCGAUCAGGUUACGUCGCGACGGAGGGGCCAGUUGGAUAACUCCCUCGGGCAGAUAACGUCGGUGGUCCAGUCGUGAAGACCCGAUGGGGCUCCGCAUCGGCAGUAAAACGGGUCAGGAUAGCCGGCUGACUAAGACUGACAUGGAGCUGGAGGUGCUGCGAUACACUAACCGGAUUUCCAGUGAAGCCCAUAAAGAGGUGUCACGACUUCCACAGAAGGUGGUUCCUCUCCCUGUUCGGGCGGUGCUCGGCGGUCGGCAUCGCCGGCCUACUAGCCAUCACCGUUCCUUUUUUCCUUUUCUGUUUGUUUUGUUUGUGGUUCUUUCACACCUGGUUUCAUUUGCCUUAAUUUCUGUGUGUAUAAGUACCCCUGUUGCCUGCCUAGGUUUGUGUGGGAUUAUUCAUGUGAUGUUGCUCGUUAAGGUUGUGCCUUAUUUGUUUUCACGUAUUAUACCAAGUGUGUAUAAGUUUAGGAGCGUUGUUUUUUUUCCCCCUUCCUUCCGUGAGUACUGGUUCCUCUGUUGUCUAGGGCGUUUAUUUUGGUAUUGUACCUGACCUGUAUGUUUGUGAACUUGCCUAUUAAAUAACGCAUCUCGGACAUCUCUGCUCUCCUGCGC
rnacentral:lncRNA from 1 species